rnacentral:lncRNA from 1 species
AGAGCCCCACUCUCUUGACACCCUACCCCUAAAGUCGAGCCCAACAGGAGUAAAUUGGACCAGCCAGAUGUCAAUCAACAUGUGGUGUGAUUCCUUUAGCCAACCAAUAGAGUCGGACUCAAGACCCCUCUAAUAUCAAAUGUAAGCUCCUGAGUUUGGACUUUUCAGGAGCUCAUCCAGCCCAAUACUAUUCAAACCCAUGGACGCUUAACCCCAAGUAUCCUAAAACCCUUAACCAAUUGGAAAAAAGUGCACUCUUAUUCAUAAACCCUUUCCCUCUAUAUUUGAAUCCCAUAGAUCAUCACUCGAAUCGUUCUUUUUGGUUAUUUAUAAAUAUCUAGUGUGGCAUAUUAAAAAUUCACUUUUGCUAUAUGGCUAGAGUACCUAGAAGCAGAAGGUGAGGGGAUCACUUACAAUGCUCACGUAAGGCUACAAUAUUUCAAAAUGUUAUUUUAAAGUCUUGGUUGAGGAGUAAUUCUCUUGUAUAGUAACCAUACAUAGUGAAAAGAUCCCAAAGAUUUAGUGGUCAGGCCUUUGAGCCCUAACCCAAUGAUAGUAUUAGUGAGUAUAGCUAUGGAUGGAAAAGGACUUAGUGGAGACCGAAGAAAGGAUAUUAAAAAAGGGUGUUCCUCAUAUCUCUAGGCAUUCUAAAAAUGUUAAAGUGUGGUUAUAAAAUGACCAUUUAUGGAUAGAUAACUUAGUCUUUGGGAGAUAAAACUGUGGUAUAGGUCAAAAGUGAAUGAACAUAGCUUUAGUAUAACAAGUUGAUAUAUCAAUGCUACCUUUGGGUGUCUAUUGUGGGAUUGGACACAUGGAGCACUUGGACCAAGUGCAAAGGCUGAAUGGCAUAAAUGCUAUUCAUGGGGCUAACAAGUCUCCAAGUUGAGAAUAAAACUUAUGGAAGUUGUGAAUAAAACUCCUUUAAAUGGUUAAAUGUGUAGUUAAGUGAUUAAAAUAGAAUAGAAAAGUUAAUCACUUACAAAAAGGUGAUACUCUUACUUGAUAUAGUUAUGUUGUAUCUUAGAUUAAGUAUUAGUAUUGUAAAUUUUAUUAUUUGGUCAACUGGCUUAAGCAUUCUUUUAUCUUAUGUAUUUGGGAGUAUGCUUCUCAUCUUGCUUAUUAUGUUUAUACUUCUAAGUUAUUAAAUUUCUAUCGAUAACAUCCCCUUAAAUUUGGUCUUAUACCACUUUAGUUAUCAAUCAAUGUUUUGACAUUAGAAGGUUAUGUAUUAUUUAUUGAAGAAUACUAUUUUCUAUAAUAGAAAUUGAACCCUAAACUUUUGCUCAUGGGAUUUGAACUUAAUACUUAUUAUGCAUGUAGAUUCCUAGAUUAGUUUGAGUUUACAGAGUGUAUAAAAGUAGGGUUUUGAGGAUUUUAGAGUAUGUCAUCCUUUUGACAAUUAAGCACUAUAUUUUAAAAUUACUAAUAAUUCAUAUUAAAUAAAUUUAAAUUCUAAAUUCACCAAAUGAUAUAAGUAGUAUAAAUUAUAUAAAAAAGUAAAAUUUUUUAAUUCACUGAUAAAUAUCAAAACAAAUUUAACUCACUAUUCUAUUUAAUAUACAAAAAAGAUCCAUUAAAAACUUAUAAUAGCUUCAGUAUCAAAAGGUCCAAAAAAUUAUAACAAUCCAAAAGUUAAUUUUCCAUCUUUUAAAUGAGAGGAAUUCCAUUGCUAUUAUCUAUGAAAUUGAAAACUUUCAUCUCCCAAAUGGGGAAAAAUGUCAUUGCCAUUAUUUAUAAAAUCAAACAUUAUUUCUUAAAUAGAAGGAAAUGUCAAUCCCAUUACCAAAAAUUUCCAAUCUCCUAUAUAGGAGGAAAUAUUAUUGCUAUUUUCUAAUGAGAUCUAAACAUUCUAUCUCUCAAAGGAAAUUCCAUUGUGGUAUAGGUUAAAGGUGAAUGGAUAUAGCCUUAGUGUAAUGAGUUGAUAUAUCAGUGCUACCUUUGGGUGUUUAUUAUGGGAUUGAACAUGUGAAACACUUGGACCAAGUGCAAAGGCUGAGUGGCAUAAAUGCUAUUCAUGGGGUUAAUAAGUCUCUAAGUUAGGAAUAAAACUUAUGGAAGUUAUGAAUAAGACUCUUUUAAAUAGUCAAAUGUGUGGUUAAGUGACUAAAAUAGAAUAGAAAAAUUAAUCACUUACAAAAAGGUGAUAUUCUUACUUGAGAGUUAUGUUGUAUCUUAAAUUAAGUAUUAGUAUUAUAGAUUUAUUAUUUAGUCAACUAGCUUAAGCAUUCUUUUAUCUUAUAUAUUUGGGAGUAUGCUUCUCAUCUUGCUUAUUGUGUUUAUACUUCUAAGUUGUUAAAUUUCUAUCAAUAACAUCCCCUUAAAUUUGGUUUUACACCACUUUAGCUAUCAAUCAAUACUUUGACAUUAGAAGGUCAUGUAUUAUUUAUUGAAGAAUAGGAAUUGAACCCUAAACUUUUGCUUAUGGGAUUUGAACUUAAUACUUAUUAUGCAUGUAGAUUCCUAGAUUAGUUUGAGUUUACAGAACCUAUAAAAGUAGGGUUUUGAGGAUUUUAGAGUAUGUUAGUAUUUUAUUAAUAGUUUUGUCAUCCUUUUGAUAAAACUACUAAUAAUUCAUAUGAAAUAAACCUAAAUUCUAAAUUCACGAAAUGAUAUAAGUACUAUAAAUUAUGUAAAAAGGUAAAAUUUGUUAAUUCACUGAUGAAUAUCAAAACAAAUUUAAUUCACCAUUCUAUUUAAUGUACAAAAAAGAUCCAUUAAAAACUUAUAAUAGCUUCAGUAUCAAAAGGUCCAAAAAAUCAUAACAAUUCAGAAGUUAAUAAGAUCCAAAAUUUUCCAUCUUUUAAAUGAGAGGAACUCCAUUGCUAUUAUCUAUGAAAUUGAAAAAUUUCAUCUCCCAAAUGAGGAAAAAAGUCAUUGCCAUUGUUUAUAAAAUCCAACAUUAUUUCAAUCCCAUUACCAAAAAUUUCCAAUCUCCUAUAUAGAAGGAAAUACUAUUGUUAUUUCUAAUGAGAUCUAAAUGUUCUAUCUGUCAAAGAAAACUCCAUUGCCAUUGUCAUUGAAAUUGAAAGUUUCCAUCUCCCAAAAGGGAGGUACAUCACUUAUGCCAUUGUAAAAAUCCAAUUUAUUUACCGAAAACUAAAAAAAAAAGAAAAGGUCUAGAUAAGUUAAUCAAUCUUUUAAAUUUAAAUUUAAACAUAUCAAGACAUACCAAGAAACAAUGAGAAUAAAAGAAAAUUAAUACUUUUAUAUCAAAUGCAAAAAGUAUAAUCCGGGACAAAAUUAAUGCAAAUCGAAAAAUAUAAAAGAGAAGAGAGAUAUCAUAAUGCCUCUAAUACUUGAAACUUCCAAGGAAUAAAUGCGCCCGGGGAGUUGACCCAAAGUAUGUUGACUCAGGCGAGAGUCACGGGAAUCGAGCAAGAAAAGCAUGGACUUCCCAGUGUCAUGGUUGUGCAAGGCAUGCCAGGGCCAUUGGUUUCAAGGAUAAAACAAUUUGCUAGAUUGAUUCUCUCUAUUGUAUAUUCUCCUUCAUAAAAUUACAAGCUUUCUAGAGUAGACUUUUAGAUAGGACAAUUUUUCCCACUCAACAUUAAAAAGGUAGCUCUGACAUGAAGAAGUGAUUAAAAAUAAAGAGUUACAUUGAGAUGCUGUUAGCUAUUGUCCUUGUUCCAACUCUUGUGUUUCUUGAUCACACAAUGGAUUUCGAGCAAGCGCGUGAAAGCCCCACAGAAGGUUAUUCUAUCACUUCUUCAAAAAGUUGUUGACAUGAAGCUAUGUCAAGUUCAUAUUGACACGAUUAUAAUUCAUGUUCUCGCUAUAUAAUGAUGGAGGGAAGAAUGAUGCAAAGUAGAGUUCUACAUCCUAGCGUUUUUUUCUACCUUUGGACCCAUUGUCACUUUGACAAUUCCAUGAGCUAUGCAAGAACAUAAAUAUUAAUCAAUAACUCGUAGAAUUUUAUUCACAAGAAAAGGUCUAGAUAAGUUAAUCAAUCUUUUAAAUUUAAAUUUAAACAUAUCAAGACAUACCAAGAAACAAUGAGAAUAAAAGAAAAUUAAUACUUCUAUAUCAAAUGCAAAAAGUAUAAUCCGGGACAAAAUUAAUGCAAAUCAAAAAACAUAAAAGAGAAGAGAGAUAUCAUAAUGCUUCUAAUACUUGAAACUUCCAGGGAAUAAAUGCACCUAGGGAGUUGACCCAAAGUAUGUUGACUCAGGCGAGAUUCACGGGAAUCGAGCAAGCUAGUGUCAUGGUUGUGCAAGGCAUGCCAAGGCCAUUGGUUUCAAGGAUAAAACAAUUUGCCGGAUUGAUUCUCUCUAUUGUAUAUUCUCCUUAAUAAAAUUAUAAACUUUCUAGAGUAGACUUUUAGAUAGGACAAUUUUUCCCACUCAACAUUAAAAAGGCAGCUCUGACAUGAAGAAGUUUGGAGCAAGCGCAUGAAGGCCCCACAAAAGGUUAUUCUAUCACUUCUUCAAAAAGUUGUUGACAUGAAGCUAUGUCAAGUUCAUAUUGACACGAUUAUAGUUCAUGUUCUCGCUAUAUAAUGAUGGAGGGAAGAAUGAUGCAAAGCAGAGUUCUACAUCCUAGCAUUUUUUUCUACCUUUGAACCCAUUGUCACUUUAACAAUUCCGUGAGCUAUGCAAGAACAUAAAUAUUAAUCAAUAACUCGUAGAAUUCUUCAAAGGUAACAAGCGAAAUCAAUGACUUCCAACCGUGCCCUAGCCCACGUUUUCUACAUUUUAGCUUUAUAUUACAUGUUAAUAUAUGAGUUACGAAGCUGCUAGAGUGCCAAAAGCACACUGCUCAAGUCUCGGUGAUACUUGAGCGACAACAGCAUCUGCAAUAAUGUUAAUAAAUCCAGGGCCGCUGUCAAAGGACAACUUCCUUGUAGCUCCGUCCCGAAAUCUCCAGUCAAACCCAUGGAUCAAGUUUGAGAGCACCAACUGAACAUUCCGCAGUCCAAGAGGAAGCCCUGGACAACCUCGCCUUCCGGAUCCGAAAGGAAGCAACUCAAAGUCAUGGCCAUAGACGUUGAUGUUGCUACCAACAAAUCUCCCAGGCUUGAACUUGUCCGGAUCGUUUGGCCAAGCCUGGGAGUCCCUUCCAAUGGCGUACGUGUUGAUGAGAACGGUUGCCUUUGCUGGAAUCUCAAAGCCCGCAACUAGUCGAGGCUCCGGGGACGUGUGCGGGACCAUCAGCGACAGCGGGGGAUGGAGACGAAAUGUCUCCUUGAUAACAGCGUUGACAAGCUCCAGCUUCGCCAAGUCCGACUCUUCCACCAUUCGAUCUCGCCCAACCACGCUUUCAAUCUCUUGCUGGAGUUUCUCCAUCCACUCGGGAUUGUGGAGAAGCUCGGCCAUAGCCCAUUCCACCACGGUUGACGAUGUCUCGGAGCCACCAAGCAGUAAAUCCUAGUAGAAAACACCAUGCGAGAACAAAGAUAGCCCGAACAAAUCAAGAGUUUUCACUUACCAUUAGCAAGGCUUUGAGAUACUGGGCCUGUUCAGGGCCGUCCACUCGCGCCUUCGUCAUCUCCACAAAGUCUGGAAUUUCUCCGGGUCUUUGCUCGUUCAGAACUUUGUCCAGGAACGCAUCCAUCCUCUGGUGAGCUCGUCUACAACGGGCUAUGCUCCAGUCGAGCCAGCCGACACUGGGGAAGUAAUCUGCUAUGGAGAACGCCCCGGCUGCAUCCAUCACCUCGUCAAUCACCCCCACAAAUUCCCGCGCCUGGGGAUCAUCGCUGGAAGCCUUAGAUCCAAAGUAAGUCUUGUUCAUGAGGAUGCGAGUCAUGACAUUGAAGCUCAGUGAUCUCAGCUUGCCUCGCAGUGCCACUGGUUGACCCGCCUUGGAAGCCUUGGCGAGCUCGGCAGUAAGAUCCCACAGCUCGUCCCGGAUGAUUUUGGUGAAGGAGGUGACCCUCCUGGCCGUGAAGAGCUCCAUGGAGCACAUCCUCCUGAUGUUCUUGUGGUACUCACCCUCAGAAUAAGAUAAGCUCUUGAACUUGUACAUGAGAAUGUCUACGGCCACUCUGGGUGGCCUGCGAGCGAAUGCGGCAUCGUGGGUCUUAAGGAACUCCCUGGCCAUGGCAGGACUGGAAAUCACAAUGAGUGGCGCGGAUCCCAGGCGCAAGUACAUGAGGGGUCCAAACUUCUUGGAGAGGUGAUAGAGUGAGAUCUGGGGGAUCCUUCCCAGGAGGUGGAAGUGGCCGAUGAGAGGCAAAGCUCUGGGGCCUGGGGGGAGCUUGAUGGCGCGCUUGCUCCACAUCCAUUGCGUGACGAAGAACGCAAGAGUUAGAACGAGGACAAUCGCUGGCAACAUUGCCAGUUUAACUCUUUGCUUGAGACUCCUUCUCCAGCGAGUGAAUGAGUGUUGUGUCAAACCUUGCUGCCUUUUUAAUCAGAAUUAGACUAAUUAAUUUAAUUAAUUAAUCGAGCGAGCAGAGACUAGUACUUGGAAGAGUGGUUGCCACUCAUUCAACGAUUCGAGGGGGAAAAUUUCUAUUCAAUUCAAGGACUGCUCGAAAUUUAGGUCCGGGAGGAGCGAUUCGCGCGCGCGCAUGAGACAUCCAUCGGUCUCUCACUGUUUGAAUUGACUGUUUGUUACUGGGGUCGCCGCCACGCCACACCCAACAAGAGAAGGGAUCGAUCCAUCUCGAGCUAGGGAUGGUCUGCUGCUAGAAUCGGAGGAUUUCCAGAGAGAAUGGCGACCAGUCGAGCCGUGGUGUCGGGUAAUCUAGCGCUCGCGCGGCGGCCCAGCUGCUCGUCCAGCGCCUGUGGCGAGAGGGUUGUGAGCGUGAGGGUUGGGCGAGGGCGAGGGAUUCGAUGCGAGGCGGCGGAGAACAAGAGCGCCAAUGUGGCUGUGGAGCCAGAGGGCAGCUUCGAUUCCAAGAUCUUUCGCAAGAAUUUGAUGCGGAGCGACAAUUACAACCGGAGUGGAUUUGGCUACAAGAAGGAGACGCUCGAGAGGCUGGAUCAAGAAUACAACACAAGUAAGCUUUGCUCGCCUUAGAAACUUUCCUCGCGAAGAAGAUCUAUUCCUUGUUUUUCCACCUUGCAUGAGUUCUUGCGGUCAUACUCCUUUGAUUUUCUUGCCUGGUUUUUCUACUUACUUCGCGAGCUUUGCUCCAACGAUUUGCUGGAUUGAUGCUUGCUUUGGUAUUCCAAACUUCGUGAUCUUUGCAAGCCAUCUUUCAUUUGAUGCUUGAUUAAAGGUGUUGUUUCUUUCUUUCUUUCAAUUGCUUUCAUCCUUGCUAUGGCAUUUCCAACUAUUGCGGUCCACUGGCUAAAAGUUUUCAAUUUCUGGUCAGGUGACAUGCUUAAGUCGCUCAAGGAGAACGAUUACUCGUACACUUGGGGAGAUGUCACGGUGAAACUUGCAAAUUCCUAUGGAUUUUGCUGGGGAGUGGAGCGUGCCGUGCAAAUAGCAUACGAAGCACGUAAACAGUUCCCCGAUCAGCAUAUCUGGAUCACCAACGAAAUCAUUCACAAUCCAACCGUGAACCAGGUAUGAACUUAGAACUCCAUUGUCAUGCUAUAUAAUCUUUUUCCGUUUUAGAAACUGGAGGAGAUGGAAAUUAAGAUGAUCCCUGUGGAGGACAAAGUCAAAGAUUUUAGCGUGGUGAAAGAGAAAGACGUCGUUGUGUUCCCAGCAUUUGGUGCUACUGUCCAAGAGAUGCAGCUCCUCGCUGAAAAAAAAGUUCAAAUCGUCGACACUACAUGCCCGUGGGUAGCAAAGGUAUUGCAUUCUCUUUUCCCUUCCUUGUGGAGCUAUGAAUAAAUCGAGUGUUUGUGGAAAGGUUUGGAACUCGGUGGAAAAGCACAAGAAAUCGUCCUAUACUUCCGUGAUCCAUGGAAAGUAUGCUCACGAGGAGACUGUUGCGACUGCUUCAUUUGCUGGGAAAUAUAUUAUCGUCAAGAACAUGAAAGAGGUUUGUAUAGCUUCCUUAGAUUUGUUGCAUCAAUCGCCAAAUGAUCUUAAUUUUCUCUCUACAGGCUACAUACGUGUGCGACUACAUUCUCGGUGGAAAGCUCGAUGGCUCCAGUGGAACUAAGGAAGAGCUGUUGGAGGUAAAUCUCUGAAAGGAAAGUCUACUCACUCACAAGCCAAGGUUUUCUUUUGUUUGUUUGUAGAAAUUUAAAUACGCAACCUCCAAAGGCUUUGAUCCGGACGAAGAUCUCGUCAGGGUCGGGAUUGCGAAUCAGACGACGAUGCUUAAAGGGGAAACAGAAGAUAUUGGUAAGCAUGUCGCCAUUGUGUCUCGCGUGAUCAAAACCACCACCUUCUUGCAGGGAAGCUACUCCAGAGGACGAUGAUGCAAAAGUAUGGAGUGGAGAACACAAACGAUCACUUCAUGAGCUUCAACACAAUUUGUGACGCUACUCAGGUAUAAAGUUUUAAGACGUCCUGCAAUUCGGAAUGAUAUCGUAAAUCACUGCGUAGGAGCGGCAAGAUGCGAUGUUCACGCUGGUGAAAGAGAAGCUCGACCUCCUUAUCGUCGUCGGUGGCUGGAACUCAAGCAACACGUCGCACCUCCAAGAGAUUGGAGAGAUCAACAACAUCCCCUCUUACUGGAUCGACACUGAAGAACGGAUUGGUCCGGGAAACAAAAUCGCUUACAGGCUCAACGUAAGAAUGUCUAGCUUUCCUCGCAGCUCCUCAUGAACUUUAAAACUUUGGAUUGCAGCAUGGAGAGCUUGUCGAGAAGGAGAACUGGCUCCCAACUGGACCCGUGACAAUCGGUAUCACAUCAGGUGCUUCCACACCCGACAAGGUAUGAGUGAGAAUCUCUAAACCCUGAUCGCUUGAAUUUCCAAUUUCCAGGUCGUGGAGGACGUUCUAAAGCAGGUAUUCCAGCUGAAAAAGCAAGAAGCGCUGCUGUGAUUUUCCAUGGUCUUGUAACUCCAAAGCCUGCAAACGUAUGGGCAUUUCUCAGAAUUCGAUUGUAUUAUUUUCAUAAUGAGAGAAUUUCCAAGUAUAAAUUCAUCCGAGUUUUAGCUAUCUUGCAACAGUUUCAUGCUGCUUGGCGAUAGCUGAUCGCAGAUAGAAAGACCGCAUCGAGCGCUAGAUUGCCAUUCUCUCUGGAAAAUCCUCCGAUUCUAGCAGCAGACCAUCCCUAGCUCGAUCCCUUCCCUUAUACAUCAGGUUGCCUUGCUCUCGCACCAAAACAGCACACUUCUCCUAUUUGAGUUCUCUCUCUCUCGUUCAUUGAACAUGAGCUCUGGAGUCUAUUGUCACUGUCCAUCGUUUUCCAGGAGCGAUCUUCCAGAUCGAUUCCCGAUGGAAAACUUUCGAUACCAGCAGCACAGAGGUCACGUUUAAAUUCUUGCUGCUAUAGUAGAGAUUGACUCCCAUCUAGAUGAACUGAGAACUUGACCACAUGCUACUCAGGAUUGGCCAGAACGCAUAAAUUUAUCAUUUUUGGUUGCCACUCUUUCAACGAUUCGAGGGGGAAAAUCUCUAUAUGCUGCUGGAAAUUUAGGUCCGGGAGGAGUGGUUGAGACGCACUCACUCUUCCAAGUACUAAAGAUCAGUUCUAUUACUUUCACAUUAAAAAAGGCAGUAAGGUUAGACGCGACACUCUCAAGAAAAGAUUAGCAAGAUUGAGAAUGUUGUUCGCGAUUGUCCUCGUUCUAGCUCUUGUGUUCUUUGUCACGCAAUGGAUGUGGAGCAAGCGCGCCAAUCUUCCCCCAGGUCCAAGAGCUUUGCCUCUCAUCGGCCACUUCCACCUCCUGGGAAGGAUCCCCCAGAUCUCACUCUAUCACCUCUCCAAGAAGUUCGGACCCCUCAUGUACUUGCGCCUGGGAUCUCUGCCACUCUUUGUAGUUUCCAGUCCUGCCAUGGCCAGGGAGUUCCUCAAGACCCACGAUGCAGCAUUCGCGCACAGGCCACCCAAGGUGGCCGUGUAUAGCUACAAGAGCGUAUCUUACUCGGAGGGUGAGUACCACAAGAACCUUCGGCGGAUGUGCUCCAUGGAGCUCUUCACGGCCAGGAGGGUCACCUCCUUCACGAAAAUCAUCCGGGACGAGCUGUGGGACCUCACUGCCGAGCUCGCCAAUGCUUCCAAGGCGGAUCAACCAGUGGCACUGCGAGGCAAGCUGAGAGCACUGAGCUUCAAUGUCAUGACUCGGAUCCUCAUGAACAAGACUUUCUUCGGAUCCAAGGCUUCCGGCGGUGGUGACCAAGAGGCGCGGAAUUUUUUGGAGACGAUUGACGAGGUGCUAGCGGCAUUCGGGGCGUUCGCCAUAGAAGAUUAUUUCCCCAGUAUCGGCUGGCUCGACCUGAGCAUAGCCCGCCGGUGUAGACGAGCUUACGGGAAGAUGGAUGUGUUCCUGGAGAAUGUUUUGGAUGAGCAAAGGCCUGGAGAAAUUCCAGACUUUGUGGAGAUGACGAAGGCGCGAGUCAACGGCCCCGACCAGACCCAGAGUCUUAAAGCGUUGCUCAUGGUAAGUGAAAACUCUUCAUUUGAUCGUGCUAAGUCUCUCUUUGCUCGCCUAGGAUUUACUUGUUGCUGGCUCCGAGACAUCGUCAACCACGACUGAAUGGGCUAUGGCCGAGCUUCUCCACAAUCCCGAGUGGAUGGAGAAACUCCAGCAAGAGAUUGAAAGCGUGGUUGGGCGAGAUCGAAUGGUGGAAGAGUCGGACUUGGCGAAGCUGGAGCUUGUCAACGCUGUUAUCAAGGAGACAUUUCGUCUCCAUCCCCCGCUGGGGCUGCUGGUUCCACACACAUCCCCGGAGCCUCGACUAGUUGCGGGCUUUGAGAUUCCAGCAAAGGCGACAGUGCUCAUCAACGCAUACGCGAUUGGAAGGGACUCCCAGGCUUGGCCAAACGAUCCGGACAAGUUCAAGCCUGGGAGAUUUGUUGGUAGCAAUAUCAACGUCUAUGGCCAUGACUUUGAGUUGCUUCCCUUUGGAUCAGGAAAGCGAGGUUGUCCAGGGCUUCCUCUUGGGCUGCGGAACGUCCAGUUGGUGCUCUCAAACUUGAUCCAUGGGUUUGACUGGAGAUUUUCAGAAGAUGCAAGGAACCUGUCCCUUGACAGUGGCCCUGGAUUGGUUGAUACUGUUGCAGAUGCUGUUGUGGCCCAUGUUUCCCCAAGACUUCAGCAGUGUGCUUUUGACACUCUUGCAGCGUAAUAACUUAUAAAGUAUGUCCUAAUUAAAAUAAAUUGCUAUGUGUUGCAUGCAGCAAGUGUUAUUCUUACUUAUUAAUUUAAUAAAGUUUAUAAUUAUAAGCAUGUUUGUAAUUUAUAAACACAAGAUUAAUUUUAUUGCAUUAGAUGAUAGAAUAAAAAAGAAUAUACUAGAAAUUAAGAAAGUUUAUAAAUUAUAAACAUUGUAUAAAUUAUAAAUACAAGAUUAAUCUAAAUGAAUAACAACCGUAAAAUGGUAAAAUAUCCUAGAAUAUUCAAGCAUAUUCUAGGUAUAUCCACUACCAUCCUAUAAGCAAACAAAAAAUCCAUGGUUUAGGGUUUAUCAUGUUAGUUCUUACGAAAUUAAAAGAUAUAGUUUUGCUUGUCUGAACUUUAACUUCUUAUAUAUGUUAUAAAUUAGAGUGAGUUAUUAAUAUCAGAGUGUUUUAAACUGUUAAAAGCUCAUUAGCAAGAAAAGGGAAGACAAUGAAACUACUAAAGUACUAAAGAAUAGAGAAUAAAGGGUAAAUUUAUAUUAAACAUUUUGAGUACAAAGUCCUUAAAUUUUAACUUUUCUCUACUUUAUGAUAUGGUGUCAAUAAACUAACAUGAAACACAUCAUAUAGAUAAGAUAAUUCAUCCAAAAGAUCCAACUUACAAGAUAUAUCACCAUCUUUUUAACACUGAAUAAGGCUCAAUAUAUUUUGGUAAUAACUUCUAAGACAAAUACCCCUUAACAUUCAUAACCACACCUAAUCUCCUAUUUAAUAUGUUAUAUUUGGUAAUGUUAAUCCUUCUCAUAUUGAUAUCUAUCUUGAGUUUUGCUUAUCACCUCAGUUACCUUAGACUAACCUUGGUGCAAUUGUUUUGCAUAAGUUUCAAUGGAUAAAACCAACACUUCAGACAUUAAUUUUGAAAUAAUGAUCUAUUAAAGAACCCCAUGAGUAUUUCAUUAUAACAUCUCUUAUAAAGAAUAAUUAAUAAUGUUGUAAAAUGUGUUGUUAUAAUAGAUUUCUAUUGUGUCCAAAUGCUCAACUUAAUUGCAUUGGUCCAUUACAACAUAGUACUGCAAAUAAUCUUCUAAGCAUUUAUAUGUUUGGUCUGCCCAUAUGUUUGAGGAUGAUAAAUUGUAAACAUAAUACCAAAUAAUUAGAAUAUGUGCCUAAAAUUUUCUUAUAAACCUCAAAUCCCUAUUUGAGAUUAUCCCAUAAUACUUCAUGGAAAAAGAGUUUUGCCACUUGUUUAACAUUCAUUGUAAAAGCUAAAGAUGCCCAUAUAAUAGGUUUUGAAUUUAAAUAAAAGGUUGGGUUUGAUUAUUAUCAUAAUCAAUAAUAAUAAAUAUACUCCUCAAUAAACACAUUUACAUUUUAUCAAUUAUCAUUAAGUCAAUUUCUUUCAUAUAAGAUGAUAUAUGAAAAUGAAAGAUUUUCCAUGGGCUAAAGUAUAAGUGUACAAACACAAUCAUCUUUAGAGAGUUAAAAGUCUUAAAAGCCUAUUUCUCUUGCAUAGGCAAUGACUUCUAGCUUCAAAGAUUCUCACAACUUUCAUUAAUGCCUAAGACUUUUAGCUACAGGAGGACAAUUUAUUCUCCCCACAACUUUGAAUCACUCUUCUAAAUUAUUCUAAGGCUCUCUUCACUUUAAAAAGGUGACACCAACAUUUAAGAAAAAAGAGUUAGACUGAGAAUGUUGUUAGUGAUUGUCGCUCUAAUUGCUCUGCUUUUUAUCACACAAUGGAUGUGGAGCAAGCGCGUCAAGCUUCCCCCAGGCCCCAGAGCUUUACCUCUCAUCACUCUAUCACCUCUCCAAGAAGUUUGGAGCCCUCACGUACUUGUGCCUGGGAUCCGUGCCACUCUUUGUAGUUUCCAGUUCAUCCAUGGCCAAGGAGUUCCUCAAAACCCACGAUGCGGCAUUCGCACACAGGCCACCCAGAGUGUCCGUCGAGAUCGCCAUGUAUAACUACAAGAGCUUAUCCUACGGCGAGGGUGACUACCACAAGAACAUUAGGAGGAUGCGUUCCAUGGAGCUCUUCACGGCCAAGAGGGUCACCUCCUUCACCAAAAUCAUCCGGGACGAGCUGUGAGAUCUUACUGCCGAGCUCUCCAAGGCUUCCAAGGGGGAUCAACUGGUGCCAUUGCGAGGCAAGCUGAGAUCAUAGCUGCCGGAAAACGUAUGAAACUAAAAAAACGUAACGUUUUAAACGCGUUAAAAAACGCCGUUCUAAACUCCCAACGCGUUUGCACUAUUUGCGAAAAGAGACAAAGGUUUCUUUAAGGUUUCUUUAGGGGGUUCAUGUAGUCAUGGCAGGAAUUGGAGGACGCCACGAAUGCUAGAGCUGGAAGCAUGUGAUAUGAGCAGAGUGGCACUGGACAUGUAAGUAUUGUCAUGAGAUUCACACUGGGGGAGCAGAGUGAGUGUGAGCACAUCUGGCUGGAGUUUGGGCAAAAGGUGUGAAAACGUGCAAGGCAAUGAGGGAGAUCCCUUAUGAAGUUCGUGAUUUCGAGCUAGCAUCUUCUUUCAUUUGUUUUAGUAUGUUAUUCGGUUGGGUUUUAUAAACUAAAUAUCAGAUUAAAGUGUCUUUAGUAAAUAUUAGUGUUUUCUUAAUCAUUUUAGGCUUUAACAUGUAAACGUUUGAUUGUCCUGAAAAAAACGUUUUAAAUGGCGUUUAAACGUGGACACGUUUAAACGUUUGCACGUCAAGCUGCAACUAUGGCUGAGAUCACUGAGCUUCAAUGCCAUGACUCGCAUCCUUAUGAACAAGACUUACUUUCCAGCGAUGAUCCAGAGGCGCGGGAGUUUGUGGAGGUCAUUGACGAAUUGCUAGAGGCAGCCGGAAGUUUUUCCUUGGCCGAUUACUUCCCCAGUAUCAGCUGGCUCGACUGGAGCAUAGCCCGCUGCAGACAAGCUCACUGCAAGAUGGAUGCAUUCCUGGACAAAGUUUUGAGCUAGCAAAGACCCGGAGAAGUUCCUGACUUUGUGGAGAUGACGAAGGCACGAGUGAACGGCCCCGAGUACCUCAAAGCCUUGUUCAUAGUAAGCUCAAAACUCUUGAUUUGAGCGAGCUAACUCUUUGUGGUUCUUUACUAGGACUUACUUCUUGGUGGCUCGGAGAAAUCGUCAACCGUGAUUGAAUGGGCUAUGGCCGAGCUUCUCCACAAUCCCGAGUGGAUGGAGAAACUCCAGCAAGAGAUUGAAAGCGUGGUUGGGCGAGAUCGAAUGGUGGAGGAGUCUGACUUGGCAAAGCUGGAGCUUGUCAACGCUGUUAUCAAGGAGACAUUUCGUCUGCAUCCCCCGCUGCCCCUUAUGAUCCCACACACGUCCCUGGAGUCUCGAAUAGUCGCCGUCUUUGAGAUUCCAGCAAAGGCGACAGUGCUCAUCAACGCAUACGCGAUUGGAAGGGACUCCGAGGCUUGGCCAAAUGAUCCGGACAAGUUCAAGCCUGGGAGAUUUGUUGGUAGCAAUAUCAACGUCUAUGGCCAUGACUUUGAGCUGCUUCCCUUUGGAUCAGGAAAGCGAGGUUGUCCAGGGCUUCCUCUUGGGCUGCGGAACGUCCAGUUGGUGCUCUCAAACUUGAUCCAUGGGUUUGACUGGAGAUUUCCAGAUGGAAGGUUGUCCCUUGACAGUGGCCCUGGCUUCAUCAAUGUUAUUACGGAUGUUGUUGUGGCCCAAGUAUUACUAAGGCUUGAGCAGUGUGUCUUUGACGAUCUUAAAACUUAAGUUUUGUGGCAAGAUCAAGAAAUAUCCUCUAUACAGCUGUACGUUUAUACGAUGGGCAAGAUCGUUUGCGUCACGGGAGCCAAUGGCUUCAUCGCCUCCUGGAUCGUGUGCAAGCUCCUCCAAAGGGGCUACACAGUUCGUGGCACGGUGAGAAACCCAGGUAAAAGAUCUAGCAAGUUAUAAGAAGAUCCUGACUGAUCGACCGGCAAUCGAGCAGAAAAAUGCGGCCAUCUCUUGGGGCUGGAUGGGGCAAAGGAGCGCCUCACACUUUUCAAGGCCGAUCUCCUGAGCUAUGAAUCACUGCUGCCGGCGUUUCGCGGCUGCUAUGGAGUCUUCCACACAGCUUGUCCUGUGGCCUUCCAAUUCGACAAUCCAGAUGUAUGGUAUUCUCAUCUCUUUCUCCUCCUAAAUCUCGCUCACGAGUUUCUUUUCGUUGCUAGGAUGUUUUGGGUCCUGCGAUUCAAGGCACCGAAAACGUGAUGGCUGCUUGCUCCAACGAGAAAGUCCAGAGGGUGGUGAUGACUUCUUCUGGAGCAGCCAUUGUUGCCGAUCCAAACAGGCCCAAAGAUAAGGUGGUGGACGAGAGCUGCUGGAGCGACUCGGAAGCUUGCAAGGAACGAAAGGUAAGAAACUAAAGCGAGAGUUCUUCGUAUUUGAUUGAUCUUUCUGUGAAUUGAAACAGUCGUGGUACUCGCUCGCCAAGACCGAAUCCGAGAAGCUGGCAUGGAAGUUUGCAAAGGAGAAAGGCCUCGACUUGAUUGUCAUCUGUCCGGUGAUGGUUUUUGGCCCGAUCUUACAGCCCACCUCCAACACCACGGUGGAGGCUCUCAAGAAUAUCAUCAAAGGUAUAAAGCUCACAGCGGAAGAAAAUAAAAAACUCUUUUUUUUCUUAUCCAGGAUCGAGCAUUCCAAAUUCAUGGGUUCGACUGGUAGACGUGAGAGACGUCGCGGAAUCUCACAUUGUGGCUUUGGAAAACGAGGCGGCGUCCGGGCGAUACUUUUGCUUUGCGCAUUGCAUUCACUACAAGGACGUCGUCAGCGUCCUGGCCAAGAAAUUCCCGCAACACUGCAAUCCCGAGCUCCAGUAAGUUGAUUUUCUCUCCACAGUCCAUGUAUAUGAUCUUCUUCUCUUGGUGAAGGUGCGAUGAGAGCCAGCCCGUGGGUGGAAUUGCUCCAGAGCUCGCCAAGAAUGACAAGCUUUUGAGCUUGAUCAAGGAGACAAUACCAUAUGAGCAGACACUGAUCGACACAAUAAGCUGCCUUGACGACAAAGGUUUCAUGUAAAUCAAGGUUCUUUUCAAUAAAAUUCACGAACUUUCAAAGGAUUCGUAUCAAGCUUUUGUCAAACUUUGAAUUUGAAACGCAAGAACAAUCUUUCUCUUUUGUCAAAAGCUCUGCCGACAACGCGAAAGCGAUGCCCAAUCAAACUCGUCUGGCAAGAACGGCAUGUCAUCGACAAGAUCCCAUGCCUCUUUUACGUAUCCGCCUCGUGAGAGAGUGUCCACAACGCUGGCAAAGUGUUGCUUCGACGCAUCAAUCCCAAAGUCGGUGCGCAUGGAUCCAAAACAAGAGCAAACCCACGAAAAAGCCCCGGCGUGGUUGCCAACAAGCAAGAUUCCAGCCAAAGUUAUGUCGUUUGGCAUUUCAGUGAAAACCAUCUUCCGAAAGAGAUCUUUGGUUUCCAGCCAUCGUCCCUUUCGAGCGAACGCGAUCAUCAAGGAGUUCCAAGACACAAGGUCUUUCGUUGGAAGCCUUUCUAAGAGUUUCGUACCUUUAUCAGCAUGCCCUUUCUCGGUAUAUGCAGAUAGAAAAGUGUUCCACGACACUAAGUCUCUCUGCGGCAUUUGAUAGAAAAAUUUCUCCAUUUCGCAAGAACCAGAUCUAGCGUAGCUUGCUAGCAUGGCAUUCCACGAAACUAUGUUUCUUUCCUGCAUGAAAUCAAACACAUUCUUCGUUUGAUCAAGGUACCCGUGCCGGGCAUACGAAGAGAGCAAACACGUUGAUGAGACCACAUUCCCUCCUGUCAAUGACUCCAACUUUCCUUCACACCUCACUUGAGAUAGAAAUGCAUUCCAGCAAGCACUAUCUUUGUCCGGAAUCAUUGUAAAAAUCCUCAUUGAAUUCUCGAGCUGCUGGUUCCGGGCAUACAACACCAUCAUGCACGUCCAUGAAACGACGUCGACCUCGGGCAUUUCCGCAAACAAAGCCUCAGCCUCGCGUGUAUACCCAACCUGGGCAUACGCGCUCAGCAAGGAGUUCCACGAAACCAAGUUCCAUUCUGGCAUCCUGCUUUCGAAAUACUCCUCCGCCUCCCUUAUUUGUUCAUUUGACACAAAUGCUGAAAGCAAAGCGGUUGUGGAAACAACAUUGCGUUCUUGCAUGCCGUCAUAGAUUCUCGAUGCCUCGUAGAUAUGCCCUUCACGGGCAUAUACUGCAAGCAUCGCAUUCCAGGCGACAAGAUCAUGCUCGGGCAUGCCAAGAAACAUUACACGAGAUUUAUCAACAUUUCCGGAUUGUGAAUGUGCUACUAGCAUGAUUGUCCAAGAUACGAGGUUUUGCUCUGGCAUGGAAUCAAAUAAUAACCCGCAUUCCUGUAGAUGCCAGUUCUGGGCAUAUGCACUAAGCAUCAAAACCCAGGAAAACAAGUUCUUUCGACGGAUCGAAUCAAACACCUGACGAGCAGAACUUGGGCUCCCACACCUCCCAUACAUUUCGAUCACCAGGUUACACAAGUAAACCUCGUAUUUCAGUGAAUCGCUCAGACGAGCAUGGAUCUCACGACCUGCUGGGAGGUCUCUACAGACCCUUAUCGCGUCCAAAGUUUCAUUCCUCGCCUGCAUGCCUCAAUAUGAUCGAUCUGCCAGCCACCACCUUUUUCUCUUCCGCGUUCACAGGCCCAUGGCUAUGAAACUCGUUCGAGAACGCAUUGGCUAGCAGGAGAUAAGCCGCGGUGUGAUCGGAUUUGAGCUCGAGGAGCUCUUUCGCCACCCCAGCCCGGAUCUCUCUUUGCUUGUGGCUCUUACAAGCGGCGAGCAAACACGUCCAGUCCAAGGUAUCGGGAACAAAAGGCAUGGUGGCGAUCAAAUCUCUUGCCUCUUCAAUGUAGCCACUUCGUGCGAGGAGAUCGAUCAUACCGCUAAAGUGUUGCUUGCUUACCUCCAGUCCAUAGUCCCAAUGGAUGGAACAAAAGCACGAAAUCCCAGCUUUCAGGUCUCCGGCAUGGCUGCAAGUCAUAAGGAUACAAAUGCAGGAAACAUCGUCCGGAUUCCGGCCACUCAUGUUCAAGGAGCUGAAAAUCUCGUGGUUUCCGCUGCGAACAUUGAUCGAGAGCAGGGAAUUCCAUGAGAGCAUGUCAGGAUCUGGCUCGAUCCGAUCGAAAACUCUCUUUGCUCCGUGAAGAUCACAAGCUCGAGCGUACAGAACCAUCAACGCAUUGUACGAGGCUGUGUUCCUGAAUGGCAUGCGGACGUAAAAGAGCAAAGAUUCGUGGGUGCUCCCGCUUUGGGCAUAUGCCGUGAGCAUCGCAUUGCAGGCCACAACGUCCCAUUCCUCCAUGGAAUCAAAGAGCUGCUUGGAUUCCUCAAGAUGCCCGUUUUGGGCAUAUGCUGUUAGCAUCGUCGUCCACGAUAUCAAGUUCUUUGUUUGCAUGGAUUCAAAAACAACACUGGCUUUGAUUACGUCUCCAUUGUGCGUGUGUCCGCCCAGUACGGAAUUCCAGGAUACCGUGUCUAGCUCGGGCAUAUUCUCUAGAACCUUUGCUAUCAUAGCAUUAUGCCCAGAGUGGGCAUAUCCCGCUAGAAUUGUGUUCCAAGAGAAGAUAUUCUUCUCUUUCAUUCCAUCAAAAACUCGUUCGGCUAAAUCCAUCUCUCCGACUUGGCAGUAGCACGAGAGCAUGGCAUUGGACGAUACUAGGUCAUAUUCCGGGAUCUUUUUGAAGAGAUGCUCGGACUUUAACAGAUAACCGGCUUGGGCAUAUGCCAUUAGCAUUGUCGUCCACGACACGAUAUCCCGCUCGGGCAUAGAAUCGAACACUGAACCGGCCUCGGCCGUACGGCUGCCUCGCACGUACGCCGCCAGCAUGGAGUUCCACGUCACCAAGUUCCUCUCGGGCAUAGCCUCAAACAUGGUUUGGGCUUCUAGCAAAUACCCAUUGACCGCAAAUGCUGAUAGCAUGGUGGUCCAAGACACAACAUCCUUCUCACGCAUCGAAUUGAAAAUCUGCCUGGCGCCAUCGAGAUCCUUGUUCCUGGCAAACGCUGCGAGCAUCACAUUCCAGAUCACAAGGCUCCAAUUGGGCAUCGCCUCGUACAUAGAUCUUGCCUGGGCGAGGUGCCCAUUGCGGGCGUAAGUCGCAAGCAUCGCCGCCCAGGUGAAUGCGUUCUUGGGCUGGAUGCCAUCGAAGAGGCGGCGCGCGUCCGCCACAGCGCCCCAAUUGCCAUAGAUUUGGAGCAAGAGAUUGGAGGCAUAGACGUCGGAAUCGAGGAGUUUGCUGCGCGAGUGGAGCUCGCGGAGGUGAUCGAGGCUCUUGCAUCUCCUAAGCUCGCGGAGGAGAGCGUCCCUAGCGGUGCCGGACAAGGAGGAGGUGUCCGUACACAUCUGGGAUCUAUCAGAUUCGUGUUUUAUUCCAUGGGAGAAUUAGGGUUGCCCCUUUCUCGUCCAGGAGAGGCGAUCCCAUGCGCUAGGGAGCUCAUCGAUCCACAUUGUGAGUGUUGUUGUGCCGUGCCGCGCGCGCUGGUCGGUUGAUCGAUCGCCUGGCGAGUCAAAGCCCUAGCGCGGCGAUGAUGGACGGCAGCGGCGGCCAUCCCCUGGAUCCAGAUCGCAGGUACUCGGUGGAGAGCUUGACCAUGGAUCCUCUCCUAGCUGACAGGGACGAGGAGGAAUCCAGCCGGUCCAAUUCCAACAGCACCUAUAGCUUGGUCGCGUCGCCGGUGGAUCCUCUUGCUCAUCCGCUGGGCCGCGAGGAUUCCCAGGAAGAAGAGCUAGAAUUCUCCAAGGAAACCAACGACGACGACGACGACGACGACGACGACAGAUUGGAAGAUGCUUCUUCGGCUACAAUCACGAGCACUGCCGGGGGGGAUCGAUUGAUCCACCAGCUGCAAUCCAGCUCCGAGGGAGAAUUCUUAAACAUCAUCGUCACGCAGCCCCAGAAGGAGGCCGAUUCCGCGAGCUCGCUCAUCCCAGGUGGGAGCUACUUCGUGACUUAUCUCGUCAGCGCUAGAACAAACAUGCCAGAGUAUGGGAAGAGCGAGCACAACGUGAGGAGGAGAUUCAAGGACAUCGUUGCUCUUGCCGAUAGCCUGGUGGAGAAGUACCGUGGCUAUUUCAUCCCGGCCCGGCCAGACAAGAGCAUCGUAGAGAGCCAGAUCAUGGACAAGCACAACUUCAUUGAGCAGCGGCGGCUGGGGAUCGAGCGCUACUUGCGCCGGCUGGCCUCUCACUCAGUGUUGAGAAAGAGCGAGGAGCUCAGGACUUUCAUAGUUUCCAAGGCCAAGCUCCAGAUGGUUCCGACGCUGGAUGUGGCGUCGAGGAUGCUCGACGGUGCUGCCAAGCUUCCACGGCAGCUCUUUGGCGAUGGCCCGGCGGCAGUGAAUCCGCAGGAGGUGGUGCACUCUGCGAAAGGUGGCAGGGAUUUGCUGAGACUGUUCAAGGAGCUCAGGCAGUCUGUGACGAAUGACUGGGGUGCAAGCAGACCUCCCGUGGUUGAGGAGGACAAGGAGUUUGUGGAGAAGAAGGAGCAUCUCCGAGAGUGUGAGCGGCGGCUAGCUCAUGCUUCACAGCAGGCAAGUUUACACUUUUUCUUUUCCUUGCUUUAUCUGAUUCUCCGAUCUUUCCUUUCUCUCCCGUUAUUCGUUUUCUCAUUUGAUGUUGUGUGUGAAACACAGGCUGAUGCAUUCACCAAGGCUCAGAAAAAUCUUGCCUCCGUGCUGGGGGAUGUGGGACUUUCGUUUAUGAAACUGGCCAAGUUGGAAACGCAGCAGGCACCCAAUAAACCGCAUGGAGCAGACGUGCGGCGCCUAGCUACCGCAGUCGUGAGAUCGAGCAGAGGCCAAAGAGCAUCAAAUGCGCAAGCCGAAAGACAUCUGGUAUGUUUUCGUUUUUUCUUUUUCUCGCUCGAGAACUUGAGGUUUCUUUUUGUUGCAUAGGACUAUCUUCACGAGCACCUUGCAGUACUGCAGUCGGCUCAAUACGCAUUUGCGGACCGCGACAAUGCGCUGCUAACUGUGCAGACUUUGCUAUCGGAUAUCUCUAUGAUGCAUGCACGCGCUGAAAAGCAUAGCGCUGCGGCGUCAAAAGUUUUUGGAGGGGAUAAAGGCAGGAACAAGAAGAUCGACGAUUUGAAAGACUCUAUAAGAAUGACUGAGGAGGCCUGUGAGUGUGCUCAACAAAAGUACAACCAAAUCAAGGUCUCGAUUUCUCUGUUGCUUUUACGUUUUCGCUCUUUCUGACCCUCGAAGCCCGUCUCUCAGGAUCACAACCGGACAGAGAUUGAGCGUUUGGAAGCAACAAAGCAAAGCGAAUUUUUUAAUAUGAUUCACGGGUUUGUCCAGUCUCAGGUUGGAUGAAGAGGUUUUUCUAUUCCAACUGAUCAUUGCUCUUUUGCAUUCCAGGUCGGCUACGCUGAGAGAAUUGCAAAAGAAUGGACCCGAGUAGCGGAGGAGUCUGCUGAGUACUCCGGCAGGCGUGUAGAUUCGCCCAUUUUCAAAUCCAAUCUAUCGUUCCAUGGGUAAUGCAACUCAUAUCUUUGCACUCUUGGGAGGAAGCUUUGAUGUUUUGCCAGGAGAUAAAAACCAGGCAAAACAGGCACGUGGCAGCAUGCAAGAUAGCACAAGUGUCAAGUGCAUGGAUCUUAUUCCUUGAAGAAGGAAGAGCAAAAGAGGGUAGAGGAGGAAAACAAUCUAGCGUUGUAGCACAGCAGCGUCGAUUGAAUGGCUUCGUGCGACAAGGUACCGGCUGGACAGAUCCCAAGUUCGCCGGAUGAUGUUCCUGGAAAGCCCACCACGAUGAUGUCCAAAAUAAUGGAGAAGGGUGCCGAUAUGCUCCAGUCCCUCGAGCCAGUGAAGCAGAUUCAAGAGGUAAGCUUUGUCAAAGUUGUGAUUUUUCUCAGAGUUCUUUGGAUGUUAAUUCUCCUGCAGCACAUCUGUACCUUUGCGUUCUACUCCCACGAUAUGAAGCGGCAGAUUGAAACCCAUCACUAUGCUUCUCGUGUCAACGAGGACUUUACACAGUGCCUGGUCUUCGAUCGAGACGACUCUCAGGCUCGUCUCAUAGGCAAGCGAGAAUUUCUUUCUUUCCUUUUCGUCCGUUACUCACGCCUGGUUUGAGUUCAGGAGUGGAGUACAUUGUCUCGGAUCGCAUCUUUGUAACGCUGCCAGACGAGGAAAAGAAGCUUUGGCAUUCUCAUUCUCACGAGGUAAUUUCAUUCUCUUUUCCUGGAAAACUAAGCGGGAAGCUGCUCCUCUCUUUAGAUCAAGGCCGGGCUUUGGGUUCACCCAGGCGUGCCCGAGGCCGUCCAAAAGCAGGAACUCCACAAGCUGGCCCCAACAUACGGGAAGUUUUGGUGCACUUGGCAGUUCGAUCGAGGCAAGAACAUCUUUCCUGGAAAACUCGAGUUUUUAUCCUUGUGAUCAGGUGACAGGCUUCCAAUGGGACCUCCAGCGCUGAUGAUGUCGCCGCAGGAGGAAUGCCCGGUUGAUUCCAAGCUCGUGGAAGCGCGAGACAAGAAAUAUAACAUCUCCACGACUGAGAGAGCCGAGUCGAGACGAGAUAUAGCCGGACUCUCCCGUGUGGAUCCUCUGGCCGAUCACUGGAAGGCUGGCGGCAAAGGCAUGGUCGUGGAGCUCAAGGAAGUUGAUAUGGCUCUUCCAGGUCCGUAUCCAAGCUCUCAGCUUUCGCUGUGAUGGGAGAGACGAUGAUCAAAACUUGGAACUUCCAGGACUCGCGGAAAGGAAGUAGAUCCUGUUUCAAGCUCUCAAACGUUUCGAACUUUCAUGUGAGAGAUGUGAUCAACUUCCCAAGUUCGUGGACAGCAGCCACAAAAUAAAAUCCAAAGCCUGGUUUUUCAGCACCAUCUAUCAGAUCUAAAAGUUCGGUUUCUUCUAGCUUCCCCCAUUUAUUUCGUGGAGGUGGUGUUCUUACUUGGCUUUUGGAUGCUUGGCAACGAAAUCCACCGCUGCUGGAACCGAGACGAGCUUAUCAGCAACUUCGUCGGGGAUGUAGAGCACGAAUUCCUCCUCGAAACCCAUCACAAUCUCCACCACAUCCAAGCUAUCCAGGCCCAGGUCGUUCAUGAAAUGGCUGGAUUGAGUGAGCUGCGAGGAGACAAAGCACGCAUGAACCCUAAAUUCCAGAGAAGCAAAUUCUCGAUCGAUCAAUCACUCACUUUGGCUGGAUUCACUUUGGGGUGCGCCUUGACGAUCAUCAUCACCCUGUCCAGCGCCUCCUUCUCGCUGAUGCCGUCUUGCGCAGGGGCGGACAUCCAUCGCCGCCACAGCAAUCCCCAUCCCCGCCCGGCAUCGAUCUGGGCGUGUAUAGAGGACGAUGGAGCUGGCGCUGGCGGCGCCAACGCCGCCCUCGAUCGAAGCAGCGAGCCACCGCGAGCGGCGAUUCUCCUCAGCAUUUUCUUCCCCUAGAGCUCUUUAUCCCAGUGGAGUCAUUCCUAUUCUAUUCCAAUCCAGGCCGCUCAUCACGUGGCCUAUUCCGAGACCAUCUUGGCCGUUGAAUCGCUCACCCAUAAUUUGUGUAUAAUCUCUGUAUAUAUUUCGAUUUCCAUGUACUACAGAUAGCGUACUUUAUCUAUCCUCGCAACAAGAGAGCCUCCGCCAUGGUGAGUGCCAUUCAGCCUUUUGCUGCUGCAAUCAAGCACAAGGAUUUAGCUCUGCCAUCGCCACACAAGGUUGUGCUCUAGACUUCACUCCAAAAUCUUAUCGUCCAAAAUCGCUGGCAUGGCCAUGGAUAAUUUUGCAGGAUCCUUCUCCGCCCGCGUCGAGUAGCGCCAGGAGAAAUGUGGCACUGGGUGUGAUUGGGGCUUUUGUUUUGGGGGCUCUCGCGGUGGAGCGCCCGGACAAAGCUGCCGCGGUUGUCACGGGAGGAUCCCGCUUCGUCAGGCCCGAAACGCGAGAGAAAAUCCGCGAGGAGAUCGAAGAGGUCAAGAAGAAAAACAAGUAGAACAUCCAUCGUCCAUUAAUAUGUAAAUCACAUCAAGCAAAGCACCAAUGGUAAAACAUCACAAAAUCAUCAUAGUAAAACUAUGUGCUAGAACGCAUAGAUCGAAUCACCGGCUUUAGUGGGAGCCAGGAUCUGGUAUCUCCAAAGAGAGAGGGAGCCAGGUAACCCCAGAUUGCUCCUCCACUCUUGCUACCAAGUCCAGCAAGCUAUUGAUCAAUCAUCUGAUUAGUAUCAUCUAGUAUAGACUAAGUUUACUUACAGUUUCCCAUACGUGAUCGUGAGCCCAAACAAGCGAAUGGUGACGAGCAUUUGAGAUUUUCCAAAGUCGUUGUCAGGGGUAAUUUGGUGGUGGAUUUGCCCAGUCGCGGCAAAUGAAGGAGAAGACAUAGUCGCCACCGAGCCUGUUACACCACCUUAUGGCUCCAGUCUCCGUGUCGAGUGAAACCACGCAUCGUCGCAGAGGGUUGCGUUUGAUGGGAAGCAAUUGGUUCGAUUUCGAGGCAUGCUUGGACAGAGGCUGGAACCGUGUAGAGAUUUUCUCCUCAUCCUCUAGCUCUUUUCUAGUCCAAUCCAGGCCGCUCAUCAUAUUCCGAGACCAUCCUGGCCGUCGAGUCGCUCACUCAUACUUCUAGAGAUAGGUACUUUAUCCUUGCAACAAGCGAGCCUCCGCCAUGGUGAGUGUCAUCCAGCCAUUCGCUACUGCAAUCAAGCACAAGGAUUUAGCUCCAGGCAAGGUUGUCCUCUAGACUUUACUUGAAAAUCUUAUCGCCCAAAUCACCGGCAUUGCCUUUGCGCUGCAAUGCAGGAUGCACCUCCGAGUAGCGCGAGGAGAAAUGUGGCAUUGGGUGUGAUUGGGGCUUUUGUUUUGGGCGCUCUCGCGGUCGAGUGCCCGGACAACGCUGCCGCGGUUGUCACGGGAGGAUCCCGCUUCGUCAGGCCAGAAAUUCGAGAGAAACUCCGCGAAGGGAUCGAAAAGGUCAAGAAGAAACACAAGAAAAAGUAGAAACAUCCGUAAAUGUGUAUAUAUAUAUAUAUAUAUAUAUAUAUAUAUAUAUAAAUCCCAUCGCAAAAGCUUUAAAAUUUGCCAGUGAAACCACGACCCUGGAAUGGCAGGAAUGAAACACGAGGAGCAUCCACUCCACCACUGCCGCCACCUCCAAUUCCAUCCGAUAAGUCCUUGAAAGCUUUGUGCCCGAACCUCUCCACGUCCUCUGCAAGCAUCAGCACCACCUCCUUGGUGACAUUGUGAAUAGAGGCGUUGCACACCAUUGACAACCAGCGUCUCGUUGGCGAGGCCGUAAGAUCAUCGUUGAGCUGCCGGAAGCGAACGGUGGGCGAGAGUGCGACCCAGAGAUCAAGCUUGAGUUUCUUGUCCAGCUCCGUCAUGGUGUCGUUGACGAAUCGUGCUUUCCCCUGGCAUUGCACGGCCUUGUCAAUCUGCUGCUUGAGUGUGUACUUGGAGAUGUCGCUCCACAUGUAGACCGCCGAGAGACCAUUCCUGGAGCCUGCAAAACUGGUGUCUGGAGUCCCACUAUAGUUCGGAUUGCUCGGUGGGUUCAGUUGGUAUCUGGCGUCCAAGGAAGAGUCAUAACUUUCGCCAAUGCAAUGGAAGAACAGAUCACCUUGUCUUGGACAUGAAAAUGCCGCAUGGAACCAGUGCACCUAUCCACUUGUGCCCGCUCAUUGCGAUGGAAUGCACAGCGUCCAGGCUGAGAUCAAACUCGGGGGCGACUGCCACAGCGCAACCCCACGAAGGUGGGGAAGUUGACGUGUCGGGCCCUCUUUGCAAACGAGUAGUGCGUGUCCUCCGAGUAGAACGCAACCGGCGAGAAGUAGUUCUCGCAAAACUCUUCUCAGCACUCUGGGAAUGGAGCCGUGCUCCUCCUGGCUCGGGCAGGCUUGGCAUUUGGAGGCACGGCUGCUUGGCGAAAGACAAGCCGUGGAGACGCCGCCACUUUCUUUUUGUCUACACCGGAUUCCAUGAGGAGGAUUUUGCCACCGAGAAAAUCUCGGGCAUUCCACAGCGUGUUGCCUUUGGGAAUCCGUAAUAGCUCUUCCCUUCCUCGUCACCCUUCGCGUUCCACAGUGAUGCGUAGUAGUCGAGCACAGGGCGCACCAUGAAUUUGGUGUUGGUGGAAAUGCGGUCUCGUGGAAUGUUGUUGAUCUGGGGUCAUAGUAACCAGCCAAUCAUACAAACAUUUGACCACGAUCACUUACAUGCACGCCGAGGAAGUCAUUCAGUUCGUCAAUCUUCUGGUUGGCCUGGACCAUGAACCGGGGUAGCUGCUGCUUCAGAUAGGCGAGCGUCCUGGUGAGCGUCUCCUUGCGGGCUUGCAGACGGUCGGCUGGAUGUUCUUCGAGAUUGCCGUCCGUCAAGCUGGACGCAAGAUCGAAGUUGACACCCUCGAGAGCUUUCCGUGGUGGGAGGGGAAUCCCGCUGCGCGGGUACCAUGGAUGGAUGGUCUUGGCGACCAGCGAGAUUGUCGUAGGGUCGUUGUCCAUGGCGAUUCUUCCAAACAGAGAACUUCACGUAAGUUUCAAUGUUGUUUUCUCAUAGUUCUCUCUUUUAAGUUUUACUUUGUCUCACUCGUUUCGGGGAGGAUUGCUGUUCUACCCGAUCGGAUGCUGGAUCGUUGAAGCUCCAAAGCUGUAGACCAAGAGCAUAUGCGCCAAAUACCAAGAGUCAUGCCUGGCUCACAGGUUCGUCUUUGAGACUUUCACUUGCUAGAAUUUCUAGGUGCUGGCAGGACGAUCUUUUCAGAACAGUUACGUUGGACGCACAAGUCAUCGCCCUCGGAAGUUAGGUCUCGAGAGUUGGAGGGGUUUUGGGAGAGGAAGAUCCUUUCGUCGGACUCGAAGCUUUCAGUGUCUUCUCUUCCGGCAAGUUUCUCGGCUGACGCCACGACCAAGUGGCCCGAUUUUAGAUUCUUUCCAAAGCGGAAGGUGUUUGCGAGAGCAUUUUCCGCCGAGGCUCGCGACGUAGCAGUGGAGAUGCGAGCGCUCUUGCCGGGAGGCCCAAGCAACUACGAUGGUCGAGAGUUCGCCAAGGAUAUGCUCAAGGGUUUGACAGCGAGGCAAUUCGCACAGCUUAGCAAAAGUUUGCGACGUCGACGUCUACCACUUCCUCAGCUAUGGCGAGCUGGAGGAAGGGCCGGUAAGUCUGGGCGAGCAGCCGCGAGCAGCGCUAUCCCAGCACAGCAUGGAGUCCCGUGAUCAAGAACAGGAGGGAUCUCUACUGGCGGAGCUAGACCGAGCAUGGCAAGAAGAAAAUUUAAGAAGUGGAAGACUGAAAACUUCGCAUUCUUCGUCGAGAUCCUGGCUGAGAAGCAGCAGCUCAAGGCACUGAUUGGCAGAAGACAUAGCAUAGACAAGAAGAGCUCGACAAAAGAGCUGAGACGACGAACGCUGGUCCUCUCAUUCCUCUUUAUUGUCUAACGUCUUUCAUUUAAACAAGACUCCGGAGAACAAAGCGAAGUUACUCUUUCUCUCCAAACUUUUCUACCAACAGAAUCUUAUUGAUUUGCCUGGGCUUGCAAAGGACAGCAAUCUACAUAGUUAACGUUCUAGACUACAAACGCCCAAACUUACACAUUCACUUUGGAAACGACUAAUAAAGUUUAUUUUCCUGCCUGCAAAAUCUAUGAGGAGAAGAAAAAAAGGAAAAAUAAAAACACAAAAAAAAAU